CAUGGUCUUAGCUUGCUAAGGCCGAUGGCGACCGGCGCACGGGUGAGUAACACGUAUCCAACCUGCCGUCUACUCUUGGGCAGCCUUCUGAAAGGAAGAUUAAUACAAGAUGGCAUCAUGAGUCCGCAUGGUAGAACUAUUAAAGGUAUUCCGGUAGACGAUGGGGAUGUGUUCCAUUAGAUAGUAGGCGGGGUAACGGCCCACCUAGUCUUCGAUGGAUAGGGGUUCUGAGAGGAAGGUCCCCACAUUGGAACUGAGACACGGUCCAAACUCC
rnacentral:rRNA from 1 species